UAGGGAAUCUUCGGCAAUGGACGGAAGUCUGACCGAGCAACGCCGCGUGAGUGAAGAAGGUUUUCGGAUCGUAAAGCUCUGUUGUAAGAGAAGAACGAGUGUGAGAGUGGAAAGUUCACACUGUGACGGUAUCUUACCAGAAAGGGACGGCUAACUACGUGCCAGCAGCCGCGGUAAUACGUAGGUCCCGAGCGUUGUCCGGAUUUAUUGGGCGUAAAGCGAGCGCAGGCGGUUAGAUAAGUCUGAAGUUAAAGGCUGUGGCUUAACCAUAGUAGGCUUUGGAAACUGUUUAACUUGAGUGCAAGAGGGGAGAGUGGAAUUCCAUGUGUAGCGGUGAAAUGCGUAGAUAUAUGGAGGAACACCGGUGGCGAAAGCGGCUCUCUGGCUUGUAACUGACGCUGAGGCUCGAAAGCGUGGGGAGCAAACAGGAUUAGAUACCCUGGUAGUCCACGCUGUAAACGAUGAGUGCUAGGUGUUAGACCCUUUCUGGGGUUUAGUGCCGUAGCUAACGCAUUAAGCACUCCGCCUGGGGAGUACGACCGCAAGGUUG
rnacentral:rRNA from 1 species